ACAACUUUCAACAACGGCUCUUGGUCUUGGCAUCGAUGAAGAACGCAGC
rnacentral:rRNA from 1 species